UUCUUGAAAUCUAUAAAAAGUAAUCUCCUGCCCAGUGAAUACUUAUUUAAACGGCCGCGGUAUUAUAACCGUGCAAAGGUAGCAUAAUAACUUGCCCAUUAAUUGUGGGCUAGAAUGAAUGGGGUAACGAAAUAAGAACUGUCUCAAUAAAUUCAAUAAAAACUAAUAUCCAAGUGAAGAAGCUUAGAUUUAAAUAAAGGACAAGAAGACCCUAUAGAGCUUUAUUUAUACUACAUACUCUAUGUAUACAAAUUCGGUUGGGGCGACCAAGGAAAAAUCAUCCUUAACUUUAUAGACAUAUAUGUCUAAACAAUGAGCCUUUAAAAGAUCAAUAAAACAAGCUACCUUAGGGAUAACAGGCUAAUCCUAUUAUAGAGCCCUUAUCAACAAUAGGGAUUGGCACCUCGAUGUUGGCUUAGAAUAUCUCUAUGGCGCAAAAGUCAUAUAAAGAAGGUUUGUUCAACCUAUAACAUUC
rnacentral:rRNA from 1 species